rnacentral:rRNA from 1 species
UCUGUCAGACAACGCGGGCGGCGUCCUUAAUACAUCAAAUUCGAGCGCGGGAAGCGGACAGUACUCUUCGGAGAGACGUUCGUGGAACGAGCGGCGGACGGGUGAGUAACACGUAGGCAACCUGCCUGUAAGACUGGGAUAACUCGCGGAAACGCGAGCUAAUACCGGAUAAUACUUAUGAUCACCUGAUGAUAAGUUGAAAGGCGGCUUUUGCUGUCACUUACAGAUGGGCCUGCGGCGCAUUAGCUAGUUGGUGAGGUAACGGCUCACCAAGGCGACGAUGCGUAGCCGACCUGAGAGGGUGAUCGGCCACACUGGGACUGAGACACGGCCCAGACUCCUACGGGAGGCAGCAGUAGGGAAUCUUCCGCAAUGGACGAAAGUCUGACGGAGCAACGCCGCGUGAGUGAUGAAGGUUUUCGGAUCGUAAAACUCUGUUGUCGGGGAAGAACAAGUAUGAUAGUAACUGAUCGUACCUUGACGGUACCCGACCAGAAAGCCACGGCUAACUACGUGCCAGCAGCCGCGGUAAUACGUAGGUGGCAAGCGUUGUCCGGAAUUAUUGGGCGUAAAGCGCUCGCAGGCGGUUCUUUAAGUCUGAUGUGAAAUCUUGCGGCUCAACCGUAAACGUGCAUUGGAAACUGGAGGACUUGAGUGCAGAAGAGGAGAGUGGAAUUCCACGUGUAGCGGUGAAAUGCGUAGAGAUGUGGAGGAACACCAGUGGCGAAGGCGACUCUCUGGUCUGUAACUGACGCUGAGGAGCGAAAGCGUGGGGAGCGAACAGGAUUAGAUACCCUGGUAGUCCACGCCGUAAACGAUGAGUGCUAGGUGUUAGGGGGUUUCCGCCCCUUAGUGCUGAAGUUAACGCAUUAAGCACUCCGCCUGGGGAGUACGGCCGCAAGGCUGAAACUCAAAAGAAUUGACGGGGACCCGCACAAGCGGUGGAGCAUGUGGUUUAAUUCGAAGCAACGCGAAGAACCUUACCAGGUCUUGACAUCCUUUGAACCCUCUGGAGACAGAGCUUUCCCUUCGGGGACAAAGUGACAGGUGGUGCAUGGUGUC